CAAAGACAUAUACCACUUCUCCUUCCCUCUCCCUUCCUAUCAUUUGUUUCGCUGUGCGCGCAACUCACCUCUGCUUCUAGUUGUAAUAUCGAGUGAAAUGCCCUGGCACCUCGACUCAUGCCCAUAUGAACGGAUCGCCCACCACACCUCAUUUUUCGUUGUUCUACUAUUUAAGAUGCUCGCAAUGACACUCUCAUCACGUGAUGGACUUCAAUUGAAUGCACAAAAAGUAUUAAGCAAAAUGCCCC
rnacentral:lncRNA from 1 species